UGAGGAAUAUUGGUCAAUGGGCGGGAGCCUGAACCAGCCAAGUCGCGUGAAGGAAGAAGGAUCUAUGGUUCGUAAACUUCUUUUGCAGGGGAAUAAAGUGCAGGACGUGUCCUGUUUUGUAUGUACCCUGAGAAUAAGGAUCGGCUAACUCCGUGCCAGCAGCCGCGGUAAUACGGAGGAUCCGAGCGUUAUCCGGAUUUAUUGGGUUUAAAGGGUGCGUAGGUGGUUUGAUAAGUCAGCGGUGAAAGUUUGCAGCUUAACUGUAAAAAUGCCGUUGAAACUGUCGGCCUUGAGUGUAAAUGAGGUAGGCGGAAUGCGUGGUGUAGCGGUGAAAUGCAUAGAUAUCACGCAGAACUCCGAUUGCGAAGACAGCUUACUAAGCUACAACUGACACUGAAGCACGAAAGCGUGGGGAUCAAACA
rnacentral:rRNA from 1 species